CAGCUUGCUAUAGUAUAACUUAGUGGCAGACGGGUGAGUAAUGUAUAGGAAUCUACCUAGUAGUACGGAAUAAUUGUUGGAAACGGCAACUAAUACCGUAUACGCCCUACGGGGAAGAUUUAUCGCUAUUAGAUGAGCCUAUAUUAGAUUAGCUAGUUGGUAAGGUAAUGGCUUACCAAGGCAAUGAUCUAUAGCUGAUCUGAGAGGAUGAUCAGCCUCACUGGAACUGAGAUACGGUCCAG
rnacentral:rRNA from 1 species